rfam:Triticum aestivum genome assembly, contig: Triticum_aestivum_CS42_TGACv1_scaffold_393665_5AS
GGAUGCGAUCAUACCAGCACUAAAGCAUCGGAUCCCAUCAGAACUCCGAAGUGAAGGGUGCUUUGGCGAGAGUAGUACUAGGAUGGGUGACCUCCUGGGAAGUCUUCGUGUUGCAUUAC